GAGUUUUAUUUCUAUCAGAAUUUAUACAAAACUUCUAUUUGAUGCAAAGGGAUUUCCAGAAAAAACUGAUUUUUCAAACUGGGAAUGAAUUUUUGAGUAACUAUUGCUUACAACUCAGGAUUUCAAGAUAAAAUGAUAUGAUAUUUCUCUAUGGCAAUGUCUCUAUUUAUACAAGUUUAUGAGACUCUAUUAUAUCAUUGAGUACAUCAACAAGGCACACUUCCCUCUCUAUUAUUUUUUUCUUUGGGCCUACAUCUUCACAUGUUGCUUCAACUUUUUAUCCAAAGAGCAACUUUUUCUAUUAUUGCUCUUUAUCUUCAAUGUCUUCACAUACAGUUGUAUUAUUGUUCCUCAUUCACCUUUGACAAAUGUGAUCUAUUAUUGUCCUCUUCCUUCAUUUCUUCACAUGCAGUUGGGGCACUUCCUUAGCUGGCAAGAUUCUUUUAUAGUGGUAGGACAUCCUGAAAAUUGAUGUAUAUCAAAUCUUGUAAUAUAGUCUUUUAAAAUUUCUGAUUUUGCAUAUCCUCCAUUGGAUACCAAAAUCCAGUUUUCAUAUAGGCACAAGCAUGAGAAUUUUUUAUCAAACAAAUUUUUGGCAAUGUUGUAGAUGUCUUUAAUUUCAAGUGCUUUUCUAUGUCUGAUCCAUGAUUUUGUCACUGUUGGAAUUUUUUUAUUAUUUUCUGUAACAUCAAUUUGGAAAUUGGCUGCAACAUAUCCAAUUGAGAUUAUGUGUUUAAUUGGAUAGUAAACAACUCUAUUAUAUUCUGGACUAAUUGAAUAUAAUUUUAAAAAUAUUUUUCUUCCCUUGGCAAAUCUGGAUACUUCUUUAAUAAAUAUGUUAUCAAACUUUGAAACUUUAAUAAAAUCUUUUCCUGGAUAUACCAGAUCCAUGUAUCCAUAAUCUGCCAUAAUUUUCAUAAAUGAAGGGUCUCCUCCUUCCAUGACUGUUAUUCUGGGAUAAACAUUAUUUCCCAGAAAAAAGAAAUAUGAAUAACUCAUUUUUAUUUCAUAAGCGAUUUUGACUAUUUCAGCAUAUUUUUCUUCUUUUGGAUCUAAAUGGAUUUUAUCUUCUUGAUCUAUGAUGCUGAUUAUUUUGGUAUCUCUUUUUAUAUCCAUGUAUCAUAACUUUUUUGAUUGAUGAUACAGAAAUGGAAUCUCUUUUAUUAUUAGUUGGUAUGUUGUCACGUCUAGGUUCACUGUUGCUUCCAGCUGUCCAUGUUUGGUAUUGAUUUGGAAAACUCAUUUCUGAGCUCUUUGAUAUAUCUGUCUCAUACAGUAUAUCUUUUAGUUGUACUGCAAUAGCAUCAACUUGAUUUUUGAAUUCUAUGACAUAUUUUUUAUGCUCAGUGGUGAUAUUCAACAAUAUUUUUAUAUUUGAGUUGAACAUCUCUAAGAUUUGGAUUGCUCCAGAGUUUAUAUCUUCGAAUUCUUCUUUAAGAAAAUUCGUCCUUUUUUGUAUGUGUAGGAUAGAUUUGUAUAAUUCCAUGACCUUGGCUUUAUCCAUCAGCAAAUUCUAUGUUUCUGUUGAGAAAAUCUGUAAGAAAAUUAUUAACUCCUUUAAUAUGGACUAUAUCAAAAUUAUAAAAUGUUAAAUAAGCUUGCCAUCUAUGAAGCCUUCUGUAUUGAGGUUCUGACGGUAACUUAUUCCUAACUAAUCUUGCAACUUGAGAAUUAUCAGUUUCAACAAUAAAUUUCUUGGAUAAUAAAAACAAUUAGAACUUUUUUAUUCCUCUAAUAAUUGCUAGUAAUUCUUUUUCAUGAGUAGUAUAAUUUAUUUCUACUUGGUUAAAGGUUCCACUUGAGUAUUUACAAAUUUCAUUAAGAUCUGUUUUUAAUAUUACUGCCCAAUAUUUAUCUGAGGCAUCAGUAUUAAUAUCAAAUUAUCUUUUUCAUCUAGUAAUUUUAAUUUUGGUAAAUUUUUGCAUUCUUCCUCUAAUGAUUUAACUAUUUCUGUAUGUUCUUCAUUCCAUCCCUUAGUAUUUAUUUUUUUAAGUAAAACUUAGAUUUUAUGUCUUUUCUUAGAAAGAUUUUCAAUAAAUCCUUCUGCAUAAUUUAAAUAUCCUAAUAAUUUUUGUAUUUGUUCUUUGGAUUCUAAUUUAUUUGGAAAACUUUCUAUCUUUUUGGAUAUAUGAGUCUGUAAUUUUAUUCCUCUUUUAUCUAUUGAUAAUUCAAGAAAGUCUAUUUCUUGUUUUUCUUUUUAGAUAGUACAAUUUCUUCUUUUUUACAUUCUCUAAUGAAAUGGAUUAAAUGAUUUCUAUAUUCUUAUUUACUAUUAGAACAUAUUAAUAUAUCAUCUAUGUAAACAAUUAGAAUUUCAUUAAAUUUUUUAAAUAUAAUAUCUAUUUUUCUUUGAUAUAUUUGUGGUGCAUUUUUUAGAUCAAAUGAUAUAACUAACCAUUCAUAUUUUUUCUUGAGGGAUUCUAAAUGCAGUAUAUUGUAUACUAUCUUCUUCUAUUUUUAUUUGCCAAAAUCUUGAUUUACAAUCAAAUUUAGAAUAAUAUUGUUUUCCUCUUGCAAGAUUUAUUAAUACUUCUUUAUUUGGUAAAAAGUAACCAUCAAAUUUAGUAUAUUUGUUUAAUUUUUUUUAUAAUUUAUGACCAUUCUAACUUUUCUUCUGAUUUGUUCAGAAUGUUUCAUAACCAUAAAUGCAGGACUACUAUGAGAUUCAUUACUAGGUCUAAUAAGUUUUUAUUCUAACAAUUCUUUUAUCUGAUUUUUAAAUUCUUGUGUAUCUUCUAUAGUAUACAUUAUUGGUCUAACUCUUGUUAUAACAUUUUCUGUUAAUUCUAUUUUAGCUUUUGGAUGAUGUGGUUUUCAAAAUAAUAAUGGAUUUUCUCCAUAAACAUUUUCUAGUUGUUCAAUAAUUUUUUCUAUAUUUAUUUCUAUUCCUGUUUUUAGAAUUUUUUUUAUAUAAUAUCCUUUUAUUUUUUUAUUUCACUAAAUAUAAUUUGUUUUUUCUCCCAUUUAUCACCACGCUGGGCUGGUUAAACUCUAUAAGAUUUAAAUUCUCUAGAAAUUUUUAAUAAGUGUCCAUAAGAUGUUUGUAGCAUUAUUAUGUAAUUAUUUUUUUUAUAAUAUUGAAAUUGUUGUAUGAAAUCAUUUCCUAAUAAUAUCACAUUUUAGUUUAUCAUAUUUAUAAAUUUUAUUUAUUGUUACUUGUUUAUUUCCAAGAAUUAUAUUAACUUUAUUGGCACUAUUAAUUAUUUGAGUACUUUCUCCUGUAACUCCAGUUAUUUUUAUAUUACUAUUAUUAUUCCAUGAUUUUAUUAAAAAAAAUUAAAUAUUGUUAUAUCACCUUCUGUAUCUAUUAAAGCACAAAUUGUUAUAAUUGUUUUUUCAAUAGUAAUUUGUAUAUACACAACUAAUGGAAAACUUAUCUGAUUAUUCAUCUAAUUCUUUUUACAUAAUGUAGUUUGUUCAUUAUGAACAAUAUAUAAUCCUUCUCUUUUUAUGCUAUAAUCUUCUAAAUCAUUUAGAAAACUCAUUCCUAAAAGUAUAUGGGGAUUUAUAUCCAUACUUUUAGCUAUGUAACAUGGUACUAAAAGAUUUAUUCCUCUUAUUUUUAUUGGUACCUUAACUUCUAAAUUUGUUAUAUAUACUUGUCCAUCAAAAUUUACAUACUUAUAUGAUUCAAUUUUAUGAGUAUUAGGCCUUUAUUUCUAAUCGAAGUUAUAUGACAUUCAUUAGCUCCUGUAUCUAUUAAUAUAUUUGGUCCGUUUAUAUUUUAUCUUCCAUUAUAAUAUUCUUCUUCUAUUUUCAUGUUUCCAACAUUUCUAUACAAUUUUAUCUCUUUUAUUUUAUUGAUUUCUUCUAACUGGUUUUUAUUAGGUAUUUUAAAACUUUUUGAUCUUUUAAUUAAUUUUUCAUCCUUAAAUAUAAUAUUAUUAGAACAUUCUCAUUCAUUUAAUUCUGUUAUUUCAAAUUUAUUUUUUGUUAUAUUAAAUUCAUAUUCCUUUGAAAUUAAACUUAUUUGUUUAUUUGGUUCUAUUAUUUUACUAAUAUCUAUAUAUUCUUUAUGAAUUUCAAUAUAUGGUUUAUUGGAAUAAAUAUUUCCAUAAUUAGAAUUAGUAAAUGUAUAUAAGGCUCUAUAUUUUAUAGUCAUAAUUUGAUCACUUGGUUGCAUGAUAACAUCCCUAUGAAAUUUAAAAUGUAGUCCUAAAACUUCAUUAAAAUUUCUAUCUUUUAGCGAUACACAAUAUUUUGGAUAACAUGUAAACAUAAUUUUUUAAUAUGCUAAAUUUCUUUCUAUUGUUCCUAAAUGACUAUUUUUUAAGUUCAUUAUUCUUCCAUCAUGUAAAGUUAUAGUUAAGGGUGAAUCUAUCACUUCUUUAAAUAGUGAUUUAAAUAUUAUUUGUAUUCCUUCUAAAUAAACAUAUUGAAUUUUUUCAUUUUAUUUUUUGCUAAUCUUUGUUAAUACUUUCUAUUUGUAUUCCUUCAUAUUCUUAUAUAUUUAUGUUAUUACUUUCUAUUUCUUCAAUUUCUUUAUUCAGAUCCUGAUUCAUCAUCUAUUUCAUUUAUAUAUACUUAUUAAUUAUAAUAUUCUUUAAUAUCUAAUAUUUUACUUAAUUCAUCUUUUAUCUUUAAGUAUUCUUUUUGUAAUAUUCUAACUUUUUUUUAUCACAAUCAGGGCUUAUAUGACCUAUUUCUCCACAAUUUCAACAUUUACAUUGACUUUUAUUUUUCUUUUUAUUAUUCUAUUGAUUAUAUGAGUUAUUUUUUCUUUUGUAAUACAUUCUCCUAGGUUUUAUAUAUUUUUUAUUAAAAUUUCUAAAUUUUUUAAACUUUUUAUUUUGAUACUUUCUUCUUUCAAGAUUACAUCUCCAUUGCACAGGAGUUUCCAUAUUUUCACAACAUAUUUUAGUUAAUUUUCCUGAUUUUUUCAUUAAUUGUCUUUGUUGACAUAUAUAUGCAAGUCUUUCAAAUAAAAUUUUUAUUUUUGAACCUAAAGUUCUAGGUAUUCCAGUAUUAUUUCUAACAUAUUUUUCAAAUUUUAUUUUAAAAUAUAUUCCCCAUGAACCCGGUAAUUUAUUAUAAUACAUGUUUUGGUAUACUUCUUAAUUUUCAUUACUAUAAAAUUGAAUAUAAUAGUAAUUUUUAAAUUCACAAGUAUAUUCUUUAAUUUUACACAUAUCACAUAUUGUUAAAUUUAUUAAUUUUAUUCUAACAUUAUCUUCUUCUCUUAUUGAUUCUUUUUCAACAUUUCUUAUCCAAUUUUCUCCUAAAAAUUUAUAUGAAAUAUGUUCUACUAAUUUUUCUAUACAUUGUCUAUCUGAUUUGAUUAUUUCUGUUUGUACAUUUCUUUUUAUUAAUAUUUUUGUAUCAUUACUUAUUCCUUCCUACCAAUUCCUAGCAUCUCCUUUAAAGGAUGCUAUUAAAAAAUAUAUUCUUCUUUCAAUAUUUUCCCAUGUAUCAUCUUUGUUAUAUAAAAAGAAUAAUAUCAUUGAAUCUGUCCAGGUUAAUAAGAGUUUUUUAGUAUCCAUUUUACAAUUUAAAUCUAGUUUUAUUCCUCCAUGAUUAAUUGGUUUAUCAUAAUUAUCAUUUAAUUCAAACAUAUCUUUAUAUUUAUUUCUUUUAGGUGGUUGUCUAUCGCUUACUUUAUCAUAGAAUUAUCUAUAUGGUUUAUUUUAUAUAAGUGCAUAGCUUUCAUCUGUAUCAUGUAAUUCUUGUUUAGAGGUUUCUAUUAGAUUAGGUCCUCCUCCAGUAUUCAUUAAAACUUGAUAUUCACUUAUAUCAGUUAGGCUUAAUUGAUCAAAAUUUUCUAUUAGCAAAUCUAAUUCUUCACUCAUUUUCUUUUUCUUCUACUUUAAUUUACUUAAUGAUUUUUCUCUAAAUUUUUCUUCCUCUUCUAAUAUCUUUAGUAAUAUAUUCUUUCUAAAUUCAUCAUCCAUACUUCCUGUUUAUAUUACUAUAUUUUCUUUUUUCUAUAUGUUUCUUUCCUAUUCGAGUCAUCUCUUUUUUUAUAAGUUUUUUUUAUCUAUUUUCUUAUCUUUAUUCUUAUUAUUUUCUUUUAAUUCUCUAAUUUCAAUUUUUAAUAUAUUUAUAUCAUUUCUUGUUUCUUUUACUUCAUUUCUCAAAUCUUGUAUAUCAUUUAUUAACAUUUUUAUUAAUGAUUUUAAUUCUUCCAUAUAUUCACUUAUUGACAUCUUAAUUUUUUCUUAUUUCUAACUCGUAAGUUAAUUUGCAUCUUUUAUCUUCUUUUUUAUCUAUUAUUUUUCUGAAUAUUCUCUCAGCUAUUUCUCGAUCUACUAAUUAUUCUUUUACUAUAGUAAAGUAUUUGCUCUCAAGUCUUAAUCUUUCGCAUUUUAAUUUUAAUAAUUAUUAUUUGAUAUUCUCAUUCCUUCUGGUAUUAACAUUAUAUUUCGUAUUUCCUCUAGUAUUUUUUUCAUUUUUAUAAGUAAUUUAUUUAAUUUUAAAUGUGUAUUAUUACUUGUACUCAUACUUUUCCUUAUAAUAUAAAUUAUUUUCUUCAUUUUCAUAUAUAUUAAUAAUUUUUUCAUAUGUAUAUAUAUCUUUUAUUUUUUCUAUUAUUAAUUUUUCUGAUAUUUGUUCCUUUAUUUCUCUAGGAAGUUCUUUAAUUAUUGUUAAAGUCAUCAUUUUUAAUCUAUUAGAAUAUGUUUUAAAAAUAUAUAACUACCUUUUUCUUCUUUUAAACACUAAUAAUUAUUUAUUUUUCUUAUUUUUAUUUCCAUGAUCUCUAUGACUCUGAUACCAAUAAAGGGGGGAGGGUGCUACUUAGAGCGAACAAAAAUCAAAUAAAUCUAAUAAAUCGGUAAUCUAUUAAAAUUUAAGCAGUGUUUAAUUUUUCAAGGACUAAAAUGAAAGAUUUCUGUUUUUCAUUAACUUAUUAUGUAAUAUUAUAAAAGGGGGGUAUUUUGGGUAUCAAAAUUAGCCAAAGGUUAUUUUGGAAAAUGGCUUAUUUGUUUGGGUCAUUUCUAUGUAUUUCCCCCUUUUAAGUCGAUCAUGUCGAAUUAUAAAAUUUUGUGGGUCAAUGAAUUUUGAAUUUGUGAUAGUUUUUUAUUCAAUUAAUUUUAUGAAUAUGUAGUACAUUCCAGAAGAGUGCCAGAAGUUUUCCUUUUAUCUAUUUUUGAUUAGAUACAAAAAAAGUUACGUAAAUAUAUUCAAUUUUAUUUUCUUGUAUCAUCUCAAAUAUAAUAUUAAUUCGAACAAUUAUCUUUAAAAUUAAGAAAAUUCCUUUUGAGUUUAUUGGAAUAAAAUAUUAAAUACGUCAUAACUAUAUAAUCUUGUAUUAUUUGAUAAAAUAAUACUGACUCUUUCAAAGCAUUUAACCAUAUUUAAUGUACCUAAUAUUGUGUUAACAUUAUUUUCUAUUUUUGUUAAUUUUAAAAAGUACUUGGAGAUUUGUGCGCGUAGUUGUACUAUUUGCUAAGCAAAUAUCUCGAUAAUUCAUCUUAAAUUUUAUUUAUAUUUCAAGAUUUUUACUUUGAGAGCAAUAAUUUAAUAUACUUCGAGAAUAUUAAAACACAGAAUGUUAUGCCCUUUAGGAGUAAUAAUUAAUAUUCUUCAUGAAUGUUGUUAUUUAUUAAAAAAUUGCAACCCAAUAUUGGGUUGUUUAAUUUAUGCUUCUUUGGAAACAUCAACAAGUUAUUAUUAACCAUAUAACAUUUGCUCUUUAGAAGCAAUUACAUAAUAUUAUUAUAAAAUAAUUGAUAUUGUAAAAUUGUGCCACUAGAGAGCAAGAAAUAUUAUAUUGAAUAUUAACCUAACAUAAAAUUGUGUUACGUAUAGCAAUAAAAUAUUUUUCGAUAAGAUUUUUCUAAAAUAAACAACUUACAAUCAUAAAAUUUUUAUAAAGAUCUUAACUCUUGAUGAGAUCAAAUCGUAUAGCUUUAUUAGAGAUGAAAUUUGAAUUAAGUCAUCUAUUUAUUAGACAUUAAUGCCAUUUAAGUUGAAAGUUUUAUAUUUAGAUGCAACUACAUUACAAUUUAUAGAAUGCAUUGGAGAUGCUUUUAUUUUACUCUAGACAAUGUGAUAGUGAUCUCACUGCUUAAUGAACAGAAUAAUAAUGUUCACUUUUUUUAUUUUUAAAAAAGAACUCAUUGACUUUAACCAAACAUUGUAAUUAAAAGUACUUUUACCUUCCAAAAUGUGCUUUUGAACUUCUUAAAUGCAUUCUCAAACACAAAAAGAAUGAAUGGGUGCACCCCUUUGCAUCUAGGGGUUGGUAUCAAUUCUCUCAUUUUUUAACAUGUCAAUCUUUCAAAUAAAUAUUUUUCUUCACGUAUUUUGUUAGAUCCACAAUUACUACACAUUUGUCCAUCAAUCAUUUCUAUCUAUUUAUAAUAUACAUUUAAAAGUUACGAAUAUUCUGCAAAAGUUAGGGCUCGUGUGUAAUUUAUCUUGAUUUAUCAAACGAUGAAUAAUUUAAACUAUUUAUUUAAUUUUUUAUUCACUUUAUGAGUUAACAACAAAUCAUCAAGUACAAAGAAUCAACCUCGUGACAAAUAAAUUAUACGGGGAAAAAAAAAGGAAUAGGCUGGUGCUCGAGGCUAAGAUUGACCUCUUUGCAUCCAGAGCUUGAUUUCGAUUCAUUUUUUUGAUAGGUCAAUCUUUCAAAUAAAUGUUUCCUUCACACAUUUUGUGAUAUUUACAAAUACUAUCUAUUUAUUCGCAAAUAUUUUGAUAUGUUUAUAUAUAAACAUUUGUUAAACGUAUGCUUUAACAAUUUAAGGAUAUGGGUGUCAAACUUGCAAAAGUUAGGGACCUUGUGGAAUUUACCCUAAUUUUGGACAAUCUAAUUUUGAAAAAUUUAAAAUAUUUGUUCUAUUUUUUUAUUUCUACACCCUUCGCUUGCACCUUUCCAUUUAAAGAAAAAAAAAAUAAAAGAGAAAACAAAAGCUCGCCUCUUUAAUAGAGAUGUACCUGAAGAAGCCGUUCUGGAGCGACGGCUUGAACUCGUCGGAAUCGGAUGACGAGUCUCAAUCGCCGGUGAAGGAGCUGGUGAAAUCGUUAGACAAGCAA
rnacentral:lncRNA from 1 species